GCCGGCUUAGCUCAGUUGGUAGAGCACGUGAUUUGUAAUCACGGGGUCGCGGGUUCGAGUCCCCCAGCCGGCACCA
rnacentral:tRNA from 1 species